UUUGUAUGUGUAGUCUGAUGCUGUGUGAGAUGAGUCAUCUGGCUGAAGGUUUUCCUACAUUCCUUACAUUUGUAAGGUUUCUCACCAGUGUGAAUUCUCUCAUGCUGGGUAAGGUGUGCCCUCUGGUUGAAGGUUUUACUACAUUCAUUACAUUUAUAGGGUCUCUCUCCCGUGUGGAUUCUUUGAUGCUGAAUGAGAGUUGAUCGACGAGUGAAGUAUUUCCCACAGUCUAAACACUGAUUGCAUUUCUUUCGUGUAUGAUUUCUCUUACGGAGAGUAAGCUGCGUAUUGUGGCAGUAUACAUUUCCACAUUCCUUACAUACGUUUCUUGUACAUUUUAUCACUGUGUCAAACUGAGAUAAUACUUCAUUAAUAGCCCUCUUUGCAGAUAACUCCUUAAUCUCUGCACCUGGCACAUCUGAAAGGGGAAAAAAAUCAAUGAACAGCUGUAAAUUAAACUAUGUAAUAUACCUGUCUUUUAUCUUUUCAAUCCCACUUUAGGCACCUAAUCAAGAAACUAAGAUACCAGUUUUUAAGGUUAUAUUGAUAAGAAUUCCUAUUGAAAUAGGCUUUAUAUUG
rnacentral:sRNA from 1 species